AACGAGGGAGGACCACAUGAGAAGGAUGAAGGACUACAGGACCAGAUGAAGAGCGGCGGUUGCCUUUCUUUUCGUGGGCGGAGGCAGGACUCCUCUGUCUCACUCCCAGCUGGAGGUGAAUGUCAACCAACCCGUCACCUUCAGCAGACCACGACACAAGUCAAUCAGGACCCCCCCCCCCCACCCCUGCCCGUCCACCCAAAUCCCCGACACCGCCCGCCCCGCCCACACAGGAAGCAGCUGUGAAGAAGACGGACGCUUCAGCCUGAACAAGACAUAAUAAUUCUUUCAUUUGUCACAUGGAAUUCUGUAUGUUCAUGUAAACUGUGUACAGUAUUUAGAUUGUUAUCUCCUGAUUUUAAUGAAUACAUUUACCACAUCUAAAUAUGUCUUUUUAUUAAAAACUACUGGGUCAGCAAACACUGUUAUGAUGUUCAUAUUGGGUUAUAAAUUAACUUUAAUGGUUGAGACUUAUGCACUACAAUGUUAUAGUUUUUAUAUUGACAUAUUGUGUUGAUUCUUAAUAAUUAAUGUCAGUAAUAUAUUGUUAGUUUAUGCCAGUGCUCAUUUUUCAUCUUCAUAACAGGUAAACGAUUAAACCCAAAAUUAUA